AGCGGCAGACGGGUGAGUAACGCGUGGGAAUCUACCUUGAGCUACGGGAUAACAGAGAGAAAUUUCUGCUAAUACCGUAUGUGGCCUUUGGGCGAAAGAUUUAACGGCUUAAGAUGAGCCCGCGUUGGAUUAGCUGGUUGGUGGGGUAAAGGCCUACCAAGGCGACGAUCCAUAGCUGGUCUGAGAGGAUGAUCAGCCACACUGGGACUGAGACACGGCCCAGACUCCUACGGGAGGCAGCAGUGGGGAAUAUUGGACAAUGGGCGCAAGCCUGAUCCAGCCAUGCCGCGUGAGUGAAGAAGGCCUUAGGGUUGUAAAGCUCUUUCACCGGUGAAGAUAAUGACGGUAGCCGGAGAAGAAGCCCCGGCUAACUUCGUGCCAGCAGCCGCGGUAAUACGAAGGGGGCUAGCGUUGUUCGGAUUUACUGGGCGCAAAGCGCGCGUAGGCGGAUAGAUAAGUCAGAGGUGAAAUCCCGGGGCUCAACCCCGGAAUUGCCUUUGAUACUGUUUAUCUUGAGUGCAGAAGAGGUAAGUGGAAUUCCGAGUGUAGAGGUGAAAUUCGUAGAUAUUCGGAGGAACACCAGUGGCGAANGCGGCUUACUGGUCUGCAACUGACGCUGANGCGCGAAAGCGU
rnacentral:rRNA from 2 species